rnacentral:tRNA from 1 species
GCUUAGCUCAGUUGGUAGAGCAACGCACUCGUAACGCGUAGGCCACAGGUUCGAUCCCUGCAGCUG